GGUUCUGUUCUUUGCAUAAUGUAAUGCAUUUUGGUGAGAUUUUACUUUUUUGGAAAUUUUUGUUGACCUAAUGAGAAAUUUAGAAUUUAUUUUCCUUUUUCAAGCUUACUCGCAGUGCAUGUGUGUACAUUCAGUCAGCUUUUGAUGAAGCUAUGUCGAUGACUGUUCGAUAUCAUCCUUCAAAGGUCUAAUCUUGGGUGCACUUCAAAGAUCACGAAGAGCAAGAUAAAGUCAGACCUAAAGCCAAAAGGAAAGAAGAACCAAGCUCUAUUUUUCAGAGACAACGUGUGGAUGCUUUACUUUUAGACCUCAGACAAAAAUUUCCACCCAAAUUUGUGCAGCUAAAGCCUGGAGAAAAGCCUGUUCCAGUGGAUCAAACAAAGAAAGAGGCAGAACCUGUACCAGAAACUGUAAAAUCUGAGGAGAAGGAGACCACAAAGAAUGUACAACAGACAGUGAGUGCUAAAGGCCCCCCUGAAAAACGGAUGAGACUUCAGUGAGUAUGGACAAAAGAGAAGCCUGGAAGACUCCUCAUGCUAGUUAUCAUACCUCAGUACUGUGGCUCUUGAGCUUUGAAGUACUUUAUUGUAACCACCUUAUUUGUAUGGGAUGCACUUAUUCUUUGAAAGGAUAUUAGGCCGGGCGUGGUGGCUUACGCCUGUAAUCCCAGCACUUUGGGAGGCUGAGACGGGUGGAUCACUUUAGGUCAGAAGUUCGAGACCAGCCUGACCAAUAUGGUGAAACCCUAUCUCUACUAAAAAUAAAAAAAUCAGCUGGGCGUGGUGACGGGCGCCUCUAGUCCCAGCUACUCGGGAGGCUGAGACAGGAGAACUGCUUGAACCCAGGAGGCGGAAGUCGCCCUGAGCUGAUCAUCACACCGUUGCCCUCCAGCCUGUGCAACAGAGCAAUCGACUUCGCUCAAAAAAAAGAAAGAUAUUAUUCCAUCACUGAUUUCAUGGUGAUAUAUUGUA
rnacentral:lncRNA from 10 species